rnacentral:tRNA from 1 species
GGGCUGUUAGCUCCUAACUGGCUAGAGCGCCGCUUUUGCAAAGCGGAGGUUGCAGGUUCGAAUCCUGCCCGGUCCA